UACGAAGGGGGCUAGCGUUGUUCGGAAUUACUGGGCGUAAAGCGUGCGCAGGCGGUUCGUUGUGUCGGCGGUGAAAGCCCCGGGCUUAACCUGGGAAUGGCCGUUGAAACUGGCGAACUGGAGUGUGGCAGAGGGGGGUGGAAUUCCGCGUGUAGCAGUGAAAUGCGUAGAGAUGCGGAGGAACACCGAUGGCGAAGGCGGUCUGCUGGGCAGUUGCUGACACUGAGGCGCGACAGCGUGGGGAGCAAACAGG
rnacentral:rRNA from 1 species